rnacentral:lncRNA from 1 species
UCAGACAUUUAGAAUAGCUCUUUGGCAGCCUAUACCUCGGGAAUCACCCAGCAUCUGUUGUGACAAGGAAGGACAGACUUUCUUUUCAGAUAAAUGGAACGGCUGGUUUCAAAACUGUUUGGGAGAUAGGCAGCUUUGGCGUGAAUUCCUUCCCAUUCUUUGCCCUUUUACUCAUUCAUCUGGCCACCACUUUGAUUAUUAUGGAGAUUGGGGUUCACUCUGAAUUUGAAAGAGAUCACAGUUAAUUUUCCUAGGGCAGUUAUAUCGGGGGUGUUUCCCUUCCCUGUCUUUUUCAGCAGUAUGCCAAGAAAUAAAGCUUCUCUUUUACCUCUGAAUGCAAAAGCAAAGGAAACACGGGCUCUAAGGAUUUUUGUUUUCUCUCUUUAACAAAUCGGUGUUUCUCACUAGGCGGUAAAAUGAUACCGGCGGCUUUUUUCUCCCAUGCAACAGUUAAUCAAUGUAGCUCCUCUGACAUCUUUUAUUUUCAGUCGUUACACAGUUGAUUCUAAUCAAAGGCCUGUGCCACAGUAGGCUGCUGGAUAGCUUAUCAGAAUUUGAAUUAUACUUUUUUUUUCUUUCUUUCUUCCUUUUUUUUUUUUUUGUCUAGCGGUUUUUCUUCUGAAUGUUUAGCCUACGUGUAAGUUGGUGGGAGUGUUCAAAGAUACAGACAAGGGUGUUUACUGUGUUGUUGAUAAUAAUAAUAAUGAAAAACCAGAAGAAAAAAAACCUGGUAACUUUAAGAAUGAAGAAUUACUUUAUACUUUUAGGGGUGUGUUAGGUGUUUUUGAGACACUAACAGAUGCUGGGUAAUAGGUGGUCUGAGCUAUCCCACUUUUUUUUUUCUUUAACCAUAUUGAGUUGACAAAGAUGAAUCAAGUUUUUUCUCUUUUCAGGAUUAUACAGUGUGAAGAUUAAUCAAAUAAUUACACAUAAGAUUGUACUCUCCCGGAACGAAGCUAAAUACCGCAAAUACUAGUAAAGAAUUUAUCUAGACUUGAAGAAAGGUGGAGGUUUCUCCCAAGGAAGCACGGAGGAGGGAAGGGGAAUAAAGGGCAGGGAGGUGAAUCAGGAAAGGUGCUUGUGACCCUGGAGGUCUGCAGAGAUCCCAGGGCAGCCAGAGCUUGCUAAAUAAAAAGUGCUGAGAGAAGAAAGAGACAGGGAAGGAAGCUGCCAGCAGGGUCAAGGAGCCAAUCUUCCCCAACCUAGUAGACCACCUUAAAGAGGUUCAUCUUUGUACUAACACCAAUGGGAACUCUCAGAGGGGGGUUAAGCAGGACAAGACCAGAUUUGCAUUUCAAAAAGAGUACUCUAACUGCUGUGUGAAGAAAAGGUCUGAAUGGUUUGCUACUGGAGGGGUUUAAAUCCAGGUUGGAGAUAGUGACCUUGUAGGCUAAUGGAACCGAGGAGGUAGGGGAAAGAGAAGAGAAGGAACUUUUUGAGGGGUGAAAUCAGACGGAGGCUAUUGGAUUGAAUUUGAGGCUGUUAGCCAGGAGGUUAUGUUUGCUAUUUUUCUGUCCUCUGCCUCAUGGCCUGUGUAACGCUGGAAGGGGAUCACAUUGGAAAGGGACGAUCUCCAGUCUGAGUGUGGUGCGGUUGAAUUCACGGAGAUGGUCAAUAAACUAUGACUGAGUCACAGGACUGAAAGCGCUGCAGUUUUAACAUGUAAUCAUGUGCAAGUGUGCCCUAAAUGAGAAGUGGAGAGAAUCACGUGUAAGGCAGAGCAUGGCGCAUGUAUGUCUGUGUAUGUUCCACGUGAAUAAAAUAUGGAAAGAUGCCAAGACAAUUAAGAGUCCAAGCUGUAGCCAGUGAGUGGCCUUGAUAAGGUGACAAUAGGGAUGUGAGAAGGUACUUUGUAAAAUACAGCUUCCUGAUUAAAGUGUUAGGGUGCAUUCCAGCUAGAAAGCAUGACAUCUAUAACAUAGACAAUUAAUGGCCGUUUAAGGCAAGCAUGUGAUGUGAGACUCCUUUAGACACUUCCUAAUGGGAACGAGUGUAGUGUUACUGAAUUUUCAAAUUUGCAUAGGAAUCUUUCCUGCUGCUUCAUGCCCCUACCCCAGUGGCUCACAGGGACCCUCUGUUUUUUAAUCCCUUUCCACUAGAUCGCACUAGCACUCUGGAUUUCAUUUAGUGCACGGUGUUUUGUGGUCUGCUUUUCACCCACCGUCUUCAUUGGGAAACAAUCCUCCCUCUUUCAGAUGAGGACAUUAGACAGUAAUGAUGUUUAUAGCCGCUGUGGAUGCCUUUUGUUGGAGGUCCCCGUGUUUCACUUUUUCACCCACAAUUUCACCCACAGAAGACAGAACUGUGUAGCAAAAGAACAAUUCUCCUUCUAAGUUAUUUGAGCAAACAAGAAACCUUAGCUGGAGAAAAAAGUAAUCUCUGGUCUCUCUUACUCCUUCAAAAAAAAAAAAAUCGCAAUUUAAUUUUCACCUAGUCUUGAAACAGUGCUUAGUGCAAAAUGGAGCCGUAUGCACACGGGCAGACUUUGCCCCCUUUGAUUGCAUUCUUUCCUAAGGAUAAAUACCUACGAGUUCAUGAGAUCCCAGGGAAGAUGAAUCUAAAUGGAAUUCACAUUGCAGCUGGUCUCUUCAAAGAGGUAAAAGGCGACUCUCAGUCGCCAGCAAGUCGCCAGAAGUCCCUGACCCUGAGUCAUGCUGGAGGACCUGCCCAGAUACCUUCUUAGCCCCAGGAGGCAAUGGGGUGGGAUUUGACAGGACUGGAGGCACUGGGUUUUAAGUCUGUUUUCGAGAUGUCUCCAGAAUGUUCUAUAGCUCGCCAUAGAAAUGUGAUUUUAUUUUGUCCAUCAUGGUUGUAGGAAAAAAAGAAGAGGCAGAAGCAGAGGCACAGAAACACUUGGGUUCAAAUGACGUCCCUUCAGAGGUUCUCACACCGAGCAGCGCCUUUCUUUAGGUCCGUUUUAUUUGAUUUUAUUCUAUUUUGUUUCAUUAUGUCUUAUAAUCUGCUUUGCUUAAAAAUGAUACAAUUCUGAGUUCGAGGCCAGCCUGCUCUACAAAGUGAGUUCCAGGAAAGCCAGGGCUAUAUAGAGAAACCCUGUCUCGAAAA